CGCUGACAGUUUUUUUACUAGUGAACGACUGACGUUUGACAUUCGAUUGAGAGUGUUCUGUGUUCCAUUUGUUUAUUUUUUUAUUCUUUGUUUAUAUAAUUUAUAACCUAGACAGUUUUGUUUUUAAAUAAAACUGAAACUGUGUCUAAGCUAAAAUGGAUAAUAUUCUUGAAGAAUUUUUGUUUGGGGACGAAAUUAGCAAAUGCCGUUAUACAUUUAGCAGAUGUACCUGCCUCACAAUUAUUCCAGAAGGAUGAGAUGAAAUUAAAUAUAUAUAAACCAUAAUUCAAUAUCCAAUUUAGAGAACAUUUUCGUAUGUCCAGAACUACUUUCCAGGAACUAUUUAAUUGUAUUGGUCAUAUCCACCAAUUUGAAAACAGAAUAAUUCUAUUGGAAAAAAUUAAUGUUUAUGAUGUGGAUGCUAAGUAAACCAGAGAAUUUGUUGCUGGGGAUACGUUUGGUUUGCCAAAGAGCUCUGGACAUAAGAUUUUCACCCAAAUAAUAUAGAAUUACAAAAAAUUGGAAAUAACUAAUCUUGAAUAUCAAUGUGUAUAUUGAGUUUAAUUUUAUUGUAAAUAUUCUAUAAUAUAAUUUUAUUGUAAAUAUUGUAUUAACACAUUUGUGGACACAUCUUCAUAUGCAGACAGUAAUUUCCCUUUGUAAGUACAUGCAUAUUAGUCGUAUCUGCGAAUGGGUUAAUUGUAAAUCGUAAUCAAUAAAAAUUUUUUGUGAAUCAAAAAACUGGUUUGUUUGAAAAUAAAUGUAGUACAAAUGUG